rnacentral:rRNA from 1 species
UACGUAGGUGGCAAGCGUUGUCCGGAUUUACUGGGCGUAAAGAGCGCGCAGGCGGCUGGUCAAGUCCGAUGUGAAAUCUCCCGGCUCAACUGGGAAACUGCAUCGGAAACUGAUCGGCUUGAAGGUGGGAGAGGGUAGUGGAAUUCCCGGUGUAGUGGUGAAAUGCGUAGAUAUCGGGAGGAACACCAGUGGCGAAGGCGGCCACCUGGGCCGACCCUGACGCUGAGGCGCGAAGGCGUGGGGAGCGAACGGG